CCUACGGGUGGCUGCAGUAGGGAAUAUUGCUCAAUGUGGGAAACCCUGAAGCAGCAACGCCGCGUGAAGGCUGAAUGUUUUCUGAUUGUAAACUCCUUUUUUUAGAGAAGUUAAUGACGGUAUCUAACUCCUAAUCACCGGCUAACACCGUGCCGGCAGCCGCCGUAAUAAGGAGGGUGCCAGCGUUACUCGGAUACACUGGGCGUAAAGAGAGCGUAGUCGGGUUAGCAAGUCAGAUGUGAAAUCUUAUGGCUUAACAAUAGAAUUGCAUUUGACACUGGUAUUCUAGAGUAUAGGUGAGGUAGGCGGAAUUCGUGGUGUAGCGGUAAAAUACGUAGAGAUCAAGAAGAA
rnacentral:rRNA from 1 species